GGAGGAGAACCAGCAGCUGAAUAGUGUCAAACCUUCCUCAAACUUAGUUAAAUUCAGAAGGUGGUGCGGUCGGGAUUGGACCAUCAUCAAGACAGGAACGACCCACAGGUGGAGCAGGGACGUCACACCAACGAGAUGUCUAGGAUACCCGAUACACGGGAACCUACUUUUGCAAGGAAUUAAGUAGAUGCAUUCUAAAUCACAAUGUAUUUUGUAGGGAUCAAUGUACUGAAUGUAUAACUUUUAUUAGAUCCUUUUUGUUUAAAAUUUGUGAUGGCUAUUAGAAGUAUAAGAGUGCAAACUCAUGUCCAUGUAUAUAUAUUUUUAAUAUGAACUUCAAAUCAUGCAACCUUAAUAUUAUGUGUUUGUGUAAGAUUCGCU